CUCAGCAAACACAAUCAGGGCUGCUCUGUAAAGCUAUCUUACCAGGCUUACCUGAUUCACACAGCAGGUUACAAUGACAAGAACAAGAUAUCUGAUGUGAAUGCAGACUGAUCCAGAGGAAAGGAAUAGUAAUCAAAGAUAAAAUUGUUAAUGGAAAGGAGAAAAAGAAUUUAAAGAGCUAUGCAAGCAAAAAAUGUUGGGGAACAUCAUUUGUCUUUCUGUAAUCAGUAAAAGCUAUUCAUUACAUUUGUUGAACGUGUCCAGACUACAGAGAAAUCUGUGUUGCAGUCUACCAGUGUUUCACUGUCUGAGAGUGGGGGAUGUUUUGGGUGCUCUGGGUGUAGCCUGUGUGUGGGCACAUGGCAGUGCUUGAGGAUGCCAGUCUUGCUGGCUACUGUUGGAGGACUUUACAGGUCAGAAUUUCUACACUGCAUAUUGCUCACAGGGGGGACAUGAGAGCUCCCUGACACAUCCUAUGCCCCAAAUUUUACCCAGAUAUUGUUUCAGAAAAUUCUGGUGUCAAAACCAAGACUGGGAACGUGAUAACAUUUAAAUAACAGGCAUGAUGACAGAGGAGAUCCUCAAACCCAACCAUUCAACUGGAUUAUUUAGCAAUGUAGAUAAAGCUUAUGAUGUACACAUUCCUGACUAAUUUUUUCCACUUCUUUUGUAUUUUCUUUUUCAAUAAUACCCCUGACAAAGGGGUUGUACAAUGCAAUUGAGUCAGUGAAAUCUUUUAGCAGGACCUAGCAGUCAGCAAAGAAAAGAAUAAACUCAGAAAGCAAGUAUAAAGGAACA
ensembl:lncRNA